rnacentral:rRNA from 1 species
GACAGCCAGGAUGUUGGCUUAGAAGCAGCCAUCAUUUAAAGAAAGCGUAAUAGCUCACUGGUCGAGUCGGCCUGCGCGGAAGAUGUAACGGGGCUAAACCAUGCACCGAAGCUGCGGCAGCGACACUCAGGUGUUGUUGGGUAGGGGAGCGUUCUGUAAGCCUGUGAAGGUGGCCUGUGAGGGUUGCUGGAGGUAUCAGAAGUGCGAAUGCUGACAUAAGUAACGAUAAAGCGCGUGAACCGCGGCCGCGGCGGA